rnacentral:rRNA from 1 species
AGAGUUUGAUCCUGGCUCAGAUUGAACGCUGGCGGCAGGCUUAACACAUGCAAGUCGAGCGGGGGAGAUUGCUUCGGUGAUUGACCUAGCGGCGGACGGGUGAGUAAUACUUAGGAAUCUGCCUAUUAAUGGGGGACAACAUCUCGAAAGGGAUGCUAAUACCGCAUACGCCCUACGGGGGAAAGCAGGGGAUCACUUGUGACCUUGCGUUAAUAGAUGAGCCUAAGUCGGAUUAGCUAGUUGGUGGGGUAAAGGCCUACUAAGGCGACGAUCUGUAGCGGGUCUGAGAGGAUGAUCCGCCACACUGGGACUGAGACACGGCCCAGACUCCUACGGGAGGCAGCAGUGGGGAAUAUUGGACAAUGGGGGGAACCCUGAUCCAGCCAUGCCGCGUGUGUGAAGAAGGCCUUAUGGUUGUAAAGCACUUUAAGCGAGGAGGAGGCUCUCUUGGUUAAUACCCAAGAAGAGUGGACGUUACUCGCAGAAUAAGCACCGGCUAACUCUGUGCCAGCAGCCGCGGUAAUACAGAGGGUGCGAGCGUUAAUCGGAUUUACUGGGCGUAAAGCGUGCGUAGGCGGCUUUUUAAGUCGGAUGUGAAAUCCCCGAGCUUAACUUGGGAAUUGCAUUCGAUACUGGGAAGCUAGAGUAUGGGAGAGGAUGGUAGAAUUCCAGGUGUAGCGGUGAAAUGCGUAGAGAUCUGGAGGAAUACCGAUGGCGAAGGCAGCCAUCUGGCCUAAUACUGACGCUGAGGUACGAAAGCAUGGGGAGCAAACAGGAUUAGAUACCCUGGUAGUCC